GGACCAUUCUAGCAUUUGUGUUGCUCUAUUUUUUGCAGCUGUCUGGAACUCGUAAAUCACCUUAAGAUUGUGGAUAUGUGAAUGAUCUUUAAAAUAUGGCUAAAUAAAGAUGCCGGCCACUGUAAAAGGAUAUUCACUAGUUUUAGUAGCUAAACUGGUUCUCGUCUUUAUUCUAGCGUCCAACUUUUUUCACUCAGUUCGACUGUGCUUAUGAGAACGUGAUUGAUACUUAA
rnacentral:misc_RNA from 1 species